rfam:Schistosoma margrebowiei strain Zambia genome assembly, scaffold: SMRZ_contig0000346
AUCCAGUUGACGAGUCCCACAUAGGAGGAAAUGCAUGUCAAACUGGAU